CUUUGGUUGGGUUCACAAACCAUUUAAUCUCAUGUUAUGGAACACAAAGCCUAAAUAAAGAAACCGAAUCCCUUACUUCCACCGUCAAAACGAACGUGUAGAAUAAGCUACAAGAAGGUCGACUUCAUGCGCAAGCACACAACUAACCGUUCAGUAAUUAGCCCGGACCGGUUUAUCUUGUUUGAAUUCCUGUCAUAUUGUGAAACAGACAACUUAAAGGAAUAACGUCGAGAAGAUUUCCGAUUAGAAGUCUUGUAUUUAAGGUCAAGUUUCGACCAAGAUUCUAAUCUAACUUCGUCAAAACCUCAUGAACAAAUCUCCAAGGAAGAACAUUUCAAUUUUUGUUAGUUUAUAAUGAGAUUGCUCUCGAAGAACUCAGAAAGAGAGGUGGAUUUCGGAGAACUUCCCACUGCCCUGCUGGACGAGGAUCACACUGUUAUUGUUCUGACAAUAGUAACAAGUUUGUUCGCGAUUUCCUGCAUUGCGCUGUUUUUCUAUUACCACUGGAGAGUCAGUUGUUACCUUGUGGAAACACGAAUUGGGAUUCAAGGAAACGAUUUUAUUUAUUUGUAUUAUUCAAAGCGUUCGUAAAGGAAUCAUUUGCCGAGACACUUUAAUGAGGUUGACCCUGGUGGCCUGUAAACUUUGUCCGGUUAAUCGGAUCUGUUGCAAGAUUUGUGGUUCUUCUUUGCUCAUGUGACGGGCGUGAACUAUAUUUUUAUGUCUCGUGUAUAGACGAUUACCACUUUAAAUCAUUUUGUUGCGCAAGGAACCAUAGUAUCUGAUUCCCGUGGGGUAAACCCCCGUGUUUUCCAGGGGGAUUUUGAAGUCAUCAAGACAUUGACAGACGAAGUCCCCGUGAUGGUUGCCCCCUUAGGAGCCUACUUAUGGCUCUUGUGAGUUCAGUGACUUCUGGGCCGGCUGACAUGGGUGAACGAGAAAACUGAUAAUCAGAGCUUCUCAAUGUGUUUUUGUGUAAGUAUUCGCAUGAUUUCGAGUGAAAUUUGAAAUAACUUAGCCCGAGUAAUUUUCCUUAAGGCUAACGAAAUUGCGCGG